AAAAGGGUAGGCGAGCUCAUAAUAAACAACAGACAUCUUAAAUGCUGUUUGAUUUUCUGAUGCUCGUCUUUUAUGUACAUCACUGGAUAUGUGAAUUGUUUUUUUGGUCAGGUUUUAUAUUAUGUUGGUUGGCAAUUAAAUUAACAAAUGUUCUCACAGUUCUUUCUCAUUUGGGCAAUGGUAAUGGUAGGUAAAGACAAGUUAGUGGUUUU
rnacentral:misc_RNA from 1 species